GUACAGGUCGAAAAUGCUUGGAUUGCUUUCAAAAAUUUCCUUAAAAGACCUCCCAGAUCCAAACGAAUACAUGGACAAGUUUCAAAAACGGCUUCAACUUCUACAGCCUUUGGCUGGUCGAGCACAACAUCUAAAAUUUUAACUAAAAAGACCACAUACCAAACCAAGUUACCGCAAACUGUUGGAACGCGCUCAAUAACAACCACAACACCGACCAUGACCGAAAUCAUCACUGUUCAGAAUACCAUGCCACCGGACAUAUUGUAU